rnacentral:rRNA from 1 species
AUGAAUUUUCUUACCUGGAACUGUCGAGGUUUGGGAUUGGCCUCGACAGUUGGUGAACUACGGGACCUUAUUCGGUCUUACAAUCUAGCGGUGGUGUUUUUCUGUGAAACAAAAAAGAAGGCGAGGGCUAUGGAAAGGUUAAGGUGGAGUUUGGGUUUCCAGAGCGGCCUUGCUGUUGAUUGUGUGGGGAAGAGUGGAUGACUAGCGUUGUGG